rnacentral:rRNA from 1 species
UACGGGGGGUGCGAGCGUUGUCCGGAAUCACUGGGCGUAAAGAGCGCGUAGGCGGCUCGGUAAGUGUGAAGCUAAAUCUCUGGGCUCAACCCAGAAACUAUUUCGCAUACUGCCAAGCUGGAGUGAUGAAGAGGUUUGUGGAAUUCCUGGUGUAGCGGUGAAAUGCGUUGAUAUCAGGAGGAACACCCAUGGCGAAGGCAGCAAACUGGUCAUCAACUGACGCUGAGGCGCGAAAGCGUGGGUAGCAAACAGG